CGGACUGGGGAGGCGCGGAAGACCGUAAAACCUGGCGACCAUAAUUUGAGGAUUGGGCGAGGGAGCAGAAGCUCGUCCGAUGGCGCCAGAAGUUCUGAGAUGUUCGUCCUCGCCAGCGUGAGAAUGUAUGUGCCCUUCGACUAAAACCGAGAGAAUUUUCCAUUUGAUGGUCCCUCCAAGAAUACAUCCAAGAAAACUGAAGUUAAUAAAAAAACAUUGGUAAAAUAUAAAGUACGGUUGGCAAUGCCCAGCACACAUCUGAUGCCACCAAUUGUGGGAAGCCUCAACUGUACAAGAGGACCAUUUCUUCUUCUUUGAGGUCCAGAAUCAGCAUAGGCUGCAAAAUUUUCUCCAUUGCUUGGAUCUGGAAACUUCCAGUCCUGAUCCAGAGUAUGCAGUAGUUAAUAAAAUUCCAUGGACUUUCUGUCAUCUAACCUCUGGCCUAGUGUGCACACCCAAAGUUGCCAGUUCGGCUUGCGCCAAAUGGGACCUGCAGGACAAGCUGUCAGGCAGUCUUAUGGUGAUAAAACACUUGGAUGCCAUUCCCUGAUGUCUGGUUAUUCUUUUCAAGAUCCACACCCAGAUUCAGCACAUAAUCUGGCACUUGAGUUCUGUAUAAUCAUGAGACCAUGCGUUCUGGAAUUCUGAAACUACAC